rnacentral:rRNA from 1 species
AGUGAACGCUGGCGGUAGGCCUAACACAUGCAAGUCGAACGGCAGCACAGUAAGAGCUUGCUCUUACGGGUGGCGAGUGGCGGACGGGUGAGGCAUACAUCGGAAUCUACUUUUUCGUGGGGGAUAACGUAGGGAAACUUACGCUAAUACCGCAUACGACCUACGGGUGAAAGCAGGGGAUCUUCGGACCUUGCGCGAUUGAAUGAGCCGAUGUCGGAUUAGCUAGUUGGCGGGUUAAAGGCCCACCAAGGCGACGAUCCGUAGCUGGUCUGAGAGGAUGGUCAGCCACACUGGAACUGAGACACGGUCCAGACUCCUAGGGGAGGCAGUCGUGGGGAAUAUUGGACAAUGGGCGCAAGCCUGAUCCAGCCAUACCGCGUGGGUGAAGAAGGCCUUCGGGUUGUAAAGCCCUUUUGUUGGGAAAGAAAAGCAGCAGGUUAAUACCCCGCUGUUCUGACGGUACCCAAAGAAUAAGCACCGGCUAACUUCGUG